rnacentral:rRNA from 1 species
UACGGAGGGAGCUGGCGUUGUUCGGAUAUACUGGGCGUAAAGCGCUCGUAGGCGGCGCCGUAAGUCAGGGGUGAAAUCCCGGAGCUCAACUCCGGAACUGCCCUUGAAACUGCAGUGCUAGAAUCUUGGAGAGGCGAGUGGAAUUCCGAGUGUAGAGGUGAAAUUCGUAGAUAUUCGGAAGAACACCAGUGGCGAAGGCGACUCGCUGGACAAGUAUUGACGCUGAGGUGCGAAAGCGUGGGGAGCAAACAGG